rnacentral:rRNA from 1 species
UACGUAGGGUGCAAGCGUUUAAUCGGAAUUAUUGGGCGUAAAGCGCGCGCAGGCGGUCCUUUAAGUCUGAUGUGAAAGCCCACGGCUCAACCGUGGAGGGUCAUUGGAAACUGGGGGACUUGAGUGCAGGAGAGAAGAGUGGAAUUCCACGUGUAGCGGUGAAAUGCGUAGAGAUCAUGAGGAAGACCAGUGGCGAAGGCGGGUCUCGUGGACAGUUCCUGACACUGAGCACGAAGGCCAGGGAGCAAACGGG